rnacentral:rRNA from 1 species
UACGUAGGGUGCAAGCGUUGUCCGGAAUUAUUGGGCGUAAAGAGCACGUAGGCGGUUUGUUGCGUCGGCUGUGAAAUCCCGAGGCUCAACCUCGGGUCUGCAGUCGAUACGAGCAAACUAGAGUGUUGCAGGGGAGACUGGAAUUCCUGGUGUAGCGGUGAAAUGCGCAGAUAUCAGGAGGGACACCGGUGGCGAAGGCGGGUCUCUGGGCAACAACUGACGCUGAGGAGCGAAAGCGUGGGGAGCGAACAGG